rnacentral:rRNA from 1 species
GAUGAACGCUAGCUACAGGCUUAACACAUGCAAGUCGCGGGGCAGCAUGGGGGUUGCUUGCAAUCCCCGAUGGCGACCGGCGCACGGGUGAGUAACGCGUACCCAACCUGCCCUUCACCACGGGAUAACCCGGCGAAAGUCGGACUAAUACCGUAUGUUGUCCAUUGACGGCAUCCGAUUUGGACGAAAGGUUUGGCGGUGAAGGAUGGGGAUGCGUCCGAUUAGCUGGACGGCGGGGUGACGGCCCACCGUGGCGACGAUCGGUAGGGGUUCUGAGAGGAAGGUCCCCCACACUGGAACUGAGACACGGUCCAGACUCCUACGGGAGGCAGCAGUGAGGAAUAUUGAUCAAUGGGCGUAAGCCUGAACCAGCCAAGUAGCGUGCAGGAUGACGGCCCUAUGGGUUGUAAACUGCUUUUAUGCGGGGAUAAAGUGGCCCACGUGUGGGUUUUUGCAGGUAUCGCAUGAAUAAGGACCGGCUAAUUCCGUG